rnacentral:rRNA from 1 species
CCAGACUCCUACGGGAGGCAGCAGUGAGGAAUAUUGGUCAAUGGACGGAAGUCUGAACCAGCCAUGCCGCGUGCAGGAAGACGGCUCUAUGAGUUGUAAACUGCUUUUGUACAAGGGUAAACCUGAAUACGUGUAUUCAGCUGAAAGUACUGUACGAAUAAGGAUCGGCUAACUCCGUGCCAGCAGCCGCGGUAAUACGGAGGAUCCAAGCGUUAUCCGGAUUUAUUGGGUUUAAAGGGUGCGUAGGCGGAUUGAUAAGUUAGAGGUGAAAUGUCCGAGCUUAACUCGGGAACUGCCUCUAAUACUGUUGAUCUAGAGAGUAGAUGCGGUAGGCGGAAUGUAUGGUGUAGCGGUGAAAUGCUUAGAGAUCAUACAGAACACCGAUUGCGAAGGCAGCUUACCAAUCUAUAUCUGACGUUGAGGCACGAAAGCGUGGGGAGCAAACAGGAUUAGAUACCCGAGUA